UUGGUGCUAUGUAGAUACGGAAAAAAAAUAUUCGGGCCACGGAGGCCAACCCCCCUGAUCACGUGGCCCUCAAAAAGGACCGUUGUGGCUCCCGCUCGUUCGCGAGACUUGGCGUGUUGUUUCGCCGCGUGGCGAAGAGCCCCGGGCGCGUGUGCGCGCGCGAUUCGUUUAGAAUCGGCUGCGAUUGAGCGCCCUCAAGCACGAUCGGAUAGGCCUCGCCUUGCCAGGUUCGUCCGCGGAUCCGCUGGCCUCCUUCGUUCUUCUGACCCGAAAAGUGUGACGAAACAAAGAUUAGACUCCGACGAGUGGGCACCUUCUAGCGGACGGUACCGAGGGCUUUGAGUGGUAGACGUUUGGCAGAGACAUCGUUGCUUCGGAUUUUUUCUCAAACGGAUAGUAUAGAUACCCUGUUUCCCUGAAAAUACAACUUGCUCUGAAACAAUCAGUAUGCCUCACUGGAUCCCAUAUUAAAUGG